rnacentral:lncRNA from 1 species
UAAUUUAUAUCUUAUGUCACGCUCCGGAUUAUUCGUUUUUCCUAGCACGCUAACAGACCCGCCGUAUACAUAGAAAUUUUUUCUGUAUACGAAGCGAAAACUGUACCUCUACCUGUAAUCAUACAACACUACAACAAGUGGUAUAGAGCUGCUAAAACUAAAAGUAUAUAUAAAUAACACUGGUUCAACAUACAUACAUAGUAUCCGGAUACAAAAACACUCGCUCCAGCGAGUUAUAAUAUCUGUAUGUAAAAGAACCCAAAAACUACAACUACCUAUAACUGGUACUACUCUAGCUCUGCAGCAAAACUGGAAGGGCUCUAACUCGCAAUACCCUUUCCACGAUCAGUCUCAGUAGUAGCAGCAGCCGUAAUAGAAGGCUCUACAAAAAGUCACCAACUGGGUGUGAGAACUACUGCAAAAAGAAAUAGUCCUUAGUGGGUACCGCUACCGACAUCAACGGCUCGCCCACUAACUCUACAGAAUGAAAGCUCAAUGAUAAUAAAGGAAUUGGAAACAAUCUACAGCUAUAUGCCAC